CUGAGGUAGUAGUUUGUGCUGUU
rnacentral:ncRNA from 2 species